UACAGAGGGUGCAAGCGUUAAUCGGAAUUACUGGGCGUAAAGCGUGCGUAGACGGUUGCGUAAGUCAGAUGUGAAAGCCCCGGGCUCAACCUGGGAAUUGCAUUUGAGACUGCGUAGCUAGGGUGCGGAAGAGGGAAGCGGAAUUUCCGGUGUAGCGGUGAAAUGCGUUGAUAUCAGGAGGAACACCCAUGGCGAAGGCAGCUAACUGGGCAUUAUCUGACGCUGAGGCGCGAAAGCGAUGGGU
rnacentral:rRNA from 1 species